rnacentral:rRNA from 1 species
UGGGGAAUAUUGCACAAUGGGCGAAAGCCUGAUGCAGCGACGCCGCGUGAGGGAUGACUGCCUUCGGGUUGUAAACCUCUUUCAGCAGGGACGAAGCGAAAGUGACGGUACCUGCAGAAGAAGCACCGGCCAACUACGUGCCAGCAGCCGCGGUAAUACGUAGGGUGCAAGCGUUGUCCGGAAUUAUUGGGCGUAAAGAGCUCGUAGGCGGUCUGUCACGUCGGCUGUGAAAACCUGGGGCUCAACUCCGGGCCUGCAGCCGAUACGGGCAGACUAGAGUUCGGCAGGGGAGACUGGAAUUCCUGGUGUAGCGGUGAAAUGCGCAGAUAUCAGGAGGAACACCGGUGGCGAAGGCGGGUCUCUGGGCCGAAACUGACGCUGAGGAGCGAAAGCGUGGGGAGCAAACA